UGGAUUUCGGGUGGGACGCAGCGGUCUCGCAUUGCGUUUGUACUGCUGCAGCCCUCCUUCUUGCCGGGGGCGGCCCUUCGGACUUCACUGUCUGGGGGUCAGAAUCGGCGAUGUUACUUUGAGUAAA
rnacentral:rRNA from 1 species